rnacentral:rRNA from 1 species
GAUGAACGCUGGCGGCGUGCCUAAUACAUGCAAGUCGAGCGAACGGACGAGAAGCUUGCUUCUCUGAUGUUAGCGGCGGACGGGUGAGUAACACGUGGAUAACCUACCUAUAAGACUGGGAUAACUUCGGGAAACCGGAGCUAAUACCGGAUAAUAUUUUGAACCGCAUGGUUCAAAAGUGAAAGACGGUCUUGCUGUCACUUAUAGAUGGAUCCGCGCUGCAUUAGCUAGUUGGUAAGGUAACGGCUUACCAAGGCAACGAUGCAUAGCCGACCUGAGAGGGUGAUCGGCCACACUGGAACUGAGACACGGUCCAGACUCCUACGGGAGGCAGCAGUAGGGAAUCUUCCGCAAUGGGCGAAAGCCUGACGGAGCAACGCGGCGUGAGUGAUGAAGGUCUUCGGAUCGUAAAACUCUGUUAUUAGGGAAGAACAUAUGUGUAAGUAACUGUGCAAAUCUUGACGGUACCUAAGCAGAAAGCCACGGCUAACUACGG